UACGGAGGGUGCAAGCGUUACUCGGAAUUACUGGGCGUAAAGCGUGCGUAGGUGGUUUGUUAAGUCUGAUGUGAAAGCCCUGGGCUCAACCUGGGAAUGGCAUUGGAAACUGGCUUACUAGAGUGCGGUAGAGGAUAGCGGAAUUCCCGGUGUAGCAGUGAAACGCGUAGAUAUCGGGAGGAACAUCCGUGGCGAAGGCGGCUACCUGGACCAGCACUGACACUGAGGCACGAAAGCGUGGGGAGCAAACAGG
rnacentral:rRNA from 1 species